rnacentral:rRNA from 1 species
CAGUAAUGGCGAAUGAAGCGGGAAGAGCUCAAAUUUGAAAUCUCUGGUGGAGACGCCAGCGAAUUGUAGUUUAGAGAACUGUUUUCGGAGUGUGGCCCUGCCUAAGUUCCUUGGAAAAGGACAUCGUAGAGGGUGAGAAUCCCGUGCGGUGGCGGUCGCAGUUCAUACGAGACGGUCUCGACGAGUCGGGUUGUUUGGGAAUGCAGCCCAAAAUGGGUGGUAAAUUUCAUCUAAAGCUAAAUAUUGGCACGAGACCGAUAGCGAACAAGUACUGUGAAGGAAAGAUGAAAAGCACUUUGAAAAGAGAGUUAAAAGUACGUGAAACCGUUAAAAGGGAAACGAUUGAAGUCAGCAGUGGAUUGUAUGAGGACAGCGGUGCGGCCUGAGCCCAAGUUGUAUUUGAGCGCAAGCCAAUGCGGUUUGGAUGUAGGGAACGCGCUGUUUAUGCUUGUGCAGUCCGAGUCAACAUCGGUUCUUAGGGCGGGAGAGGGGCACAGGGAAGGUAGCUGCUUGCAGCAUUACAGCCCUGGGUCUGUGCCGCCUGGGGGAUCGAUAGUNAGCCGAAUUUACCGUAGCUUGAGGACUGGAUCAGGUCGGGGGCGGACUACACGUAGUGCGUUUUCGGGUUGGACUAGGCUGAGGGUGAGGAUAGAGCGGCUUUGUGUUGACGAAAUGGCUUUAACCGACCCGUCUAGAAACACGGACCAAGGAGUCUAACAUAUGCGCGAGUCUUAGGGUGUCAAACCACUGAGGCGGAAUGAAAGUGAAAGGUGAGACCAUUGGGUAUCAUCGACCGAUCUGGAUAUUCUUUGAAAGAUUUGAGUAAGAGCGUAUCUGUUGGGACCCGAAAGAUGGUGAACUAUGCCUGAAUAGGGUGAAGUCAGAGGAAACUCUGAUGGAAGCUUGUAGCGGUUCUGACGUGCAAAUCGAUCGUCAAAUUUGGGUAUAGGGGCGAAAGACUAAUCGAACCAUCUAGUAGCUGGUUCCCACCGAAGUUUCCCUCAGGAUAGCUGGAACUUUGACAGUUUUAUCAGGUAAAGCGAAUGAUUAGAGGCCUUGGUAGCGAAACGCCGUCAACCUAUUCUCAAACUUUAAAUAGGUAAGAAGCCCGUCUUGCUUAAGUGAAGUCGGGCACUGAAUGUGAGUUCCAAGUGGGCCAUUUUUGGUAAGCAGAACUGGCGAUGCGGGAUGAACCGAACGCGGGAGUUAAGGCGCCCAAAUCGACGCUCAUCAGAUCCCAGAAAAGGUGUUGGUUGAUCUAGACAGCAGGACGGUGGCCAUGGAAGUCGGAACCCGCUAAGGAGUGUGUAACAACCCACCUGCCGAAUCAACUAGCCCUGAAAAUUGAUGGCGCUUAAGCGUCGUGCCUAUACUCCGCCGUUGGGACAAAUGCGAGGUCCCGACGAGUAGGUGGGCGUGGAGGUCGUGACGAAGCUUCGGGCGUGAGCCCUGGUUGAACGGCCUCUGGUGCAGAUCUUGGUGGUAGUAGCAAAUAUUCAAAUGAGAACUUUGAAGACUGAAGUGGAGAAAGGUUCCAUGUGAACAGCAGUUGGACAUGGGUUAGUCGAUCCUAAGAGAUAGGGAAACUCCGUUUUAAUGAGUGCAAUUCUCGAAUUGCACCGCCUAUCGAAAGGGAAUCGGGUUAAUAUUCCCGAACUUGGACGAGGAUAGAUUUGCGGCAACGCAACUGAACCCGGAGACACCGGCAGGCGCCCUGGGAAGAGUUCUCUUUUCUUUUUAACGAGCUAUAGCCCUGAAAUCAGCUUAUCUGGAGAUAGGGUCUGAUGCUCGGUAAAGCACGACACUUCUUGUCGUGUCCGGCGCGCUCCUGACGGUCCUUGAAAAUCCGAGGGAAAGAAUAAUUUUCUUGCCAAGUCGUACUCAUAACCGCAGCAGGUCUCCUAGGUUAACAGCCUCUAGUUGAUAGAACAA